UGGGGAAUAUUGGGCAAUGGGCGAAAGCCUGACCCAGCCACGCCGCGUGAGUGAUGAAGGCCUUCGGGUCGUAAAGCUCUGUGGGGAGGGACGAAUAAGUCGGUAGUUAAUAACUGCCGGCCCUGACGGUACCUCCUUAGCAAGCACCGGCUAACCAUGUGCCAGCAGCCGCGGUAAUACAGAGGGUGCGAGCGUUGUCCGGAAUCACUGGGCGUAAAGGGCGCGUAGGCGGCUUGAUAAGGUUGCGGUGAAAGCCCGGGGCUCAACCCCGGGUCGGCCGUGGCAACUGUCGAGCUGGAGCACUGUAGAGGCAGGUGGAAUUCCGGGUGUAGCGGUGGAAUGCGUAGAGAUCCGGAAGAACACCGGUGGCGAAGGCGG
rnacentral:rRNA from 1 species